GCUGGAGUUUCCGGCGGCGAGCGGGCAGCAGCCAUGGUUUCGACGGCCUACGCUGUGGCCUCGGUGUAAGGAACCACCGCGGGUGGCCUCGGCGGCGUGCGACGCUGCAGGUGGCCUUUGUUUUGUGCUUGGAGCCCCACCACCGCUCAGAUCUGUGAGGCAAGCUCAGCCAUGGUCCCUUCUUUAGCGGCGACUUGGCUUCCGGCGAUGGCGACAGGGAUGCGAACAGAGUCUCUUCCGACUCCUCUGCCCUAGUGCCUCUGCUCUAUACUACUACGUGUCUGCAUCCGUCGUACCCGACCACCCGCGCCGCACGACGCCGUUGUCCUCAAAGACCACUCGCUGGCGGCCCAACCUCCAACUCGUCCCCGAACAAGGUAACAGAGUUUGGAGAUUCACAACGUAGGAAAGGAGGGGAGUUCACGAAGUACUAAACUUUGCACAACAGAAUUCACCCUUUUACAUGUUUUGCCACAACAUAACUUUUUCUUAACUAAUUUAUAAUUUCAAAUGCUUUUCCAGGCCCAGUUCUCAUUGAGAAACACUGAGAACAUCAUGGGGAUACAUGAGGAUUUUGCUCCUAAUUUUUUUUAUUUGACCGCAAUGCCGUUACAUAGUUAGCUCUCACUUUCGGUUUCUCUGUGGAUUUAAAUUCUGAUCCUGUGAUGUUUUUUUUGGUGCUUAUAUUAACUUUGUCCUAACUGAUGUAAGUCUUCAUUUUUUGCGAAUAUGACUGAUGUAAGUCUUGUUUUACAAUCUCUCUUUUAUGUAUGUUUGACACCAGUCAACUUUUUAUUGAGCCAUGAUGCUUUUUCUUUGCCAAAUGUAAUUUUAGGUUCCGGUUGUGAUGAUCAGUUGCACUCAGUUACUCCUUUAUCAUAUUCUGAAGCUAAGAUUUUUGUGUGGUAUACAUGGCUAAAUAACUAGCAAUUCAAUCUCAUUGACACUAGAAGGCCUCGUGGCUACAUGAACCUUUCCUUCUCAUUUUCUUUUGAAACUUGCUGUUUUACAAUGUCGACCACAACUUCCCAAGCAAGAUACAUGUUAUAUACUUAUAUUACAGGAUUGCAACAUCCCAUGGGCAUCAGCAGCAGCAGCGUACAAUAGUGAGACUUCUGGGAGGAGUAGGCGGUCGCAUGCGUGGCGGCCGUGCGCCUACCCGACUACCCGUGCACCUUCUGCCACCGCGAGUUCCGACAUUAUUGAGUUGAGCGGAACAUGAUCUGGAUGAGGCGAUGAGAGUAAUAUAGAACUGACAGUUGAUUUCGAAACAGGUGGCGGCAUCUCUUACAACCAAUCUACAUGCUCUUUCGGCAGUAAGGCAUUGAUUUUAUUCAUCUUCAGCUGAUUUUCCUAUCUUGCAGUGUUGUCCAUUUAAGUAUAAUUAUUUUCUAGUGCCUGACUUUUUACGACUGCCAUAGACAUGCAUUUACUUGGUUCUGCUUAAAAUUGAUUCAUCUACAUGAUUUAAUUCAUGCUUGUAAGCUUGUUCAUAAAUUGCGUAUCCAGUAUGCUAUUGAUCAUUUUCAUUUUGUCAUCUCGACACUAGGCCAGAAGCUAUAAGUGACUCAAUAGUUCCAAAACUUAUCUUGACAAUCAUGUGUCUAUUUGGGCAGCACAUGGCCUGAUUCAGUGGGGGCAUGGUCAUUCUUUUCUGAACUGAAGUUGUUAUCAAAAGAAUGAACUAGAUCAUUUGGUUGGAAUAAAAAAGGUUGAAUGUUUCUUCAUACUGUGGAUUUUUUGUAGUCUUUCCUUUGUGGAAGCUGUAAUAAUUCUUCCUCUCUCUACGGUACAUGGAUAACGUGUUCCUAAUUUUCUGAUAUUGCUUUACGAGAUGUGGUGAGUGGGUCUAUCCUAACGAAUUAUUCUGCAGACAAUCAUCAUCCAUGACUUGUUGAUGUGCACAUGGCAAGGAAACCGAAGAAGAUUCCAUGGGCAGAUGCACAACAAAGUGAUGCCACAUAACAACAACUUCUAACUAAAGCUUUGUUUUUCUCCUUAUCCAUAUUUUUGCAUAUCCUAUUUGGAUGCCUCUUACAGAAUAUUGCUACCGUUUCAGAUAUCAACUAUUCACCAUUGGGACAAGAAAUGCAUAGCUUCUGCAGUUCUAUCUCAACUCAUUUUGAAAGGAAUCAACAUGUCUAUCGCCGACGCAUUGUGCAACUGAAAUCUUCAGUCUGCCUUAUGCAGUUUGUUACACAGAUUGACUCCAUCUUUUUGGCAAAUGAGGACACGCUGGUACUACAGUUCUUAUGACACAUGGCAGCAUAUAUUUUAGAUGCCCUCAAGCUCAAGUCCCCAGCUUUGGAGUCACCGGGACAUGCCUUUUAUGUCAGGAUUCCUAUUUUAUGAUGGCGCCUAGAAUUCUUCCGUGACAUAAUGUAUUUGGCACGUAGAAUUCUUAUAUGGCAUAAUGUAUUUCACAUUCAGUUCA